UGAAAAAGACAAAAGUGUUCAAUUCCAAACGCCUCGACCGGAUUUUUGUAGCAAUAUGGCCCCAGAACAUAGCCUGAAAUUUUGAGCGCAUUUGGUUAAGGUUUAGUACUUCCACCAUUGACCUGAAGUUAGUAUGGAACUUUUGAAGAUUUACUAUGGAAAAUUUUCACUUUUAACCUCUUCUUAGAUAAAGUUUCCCAAAACCCAAUCAAAUUUUCUUAUUCUCAAGUUUCUUAUAGGUUUUGAUCCGGGGAACAACUUUGUAGAACAUCGCAAAGCGCUAGGAAUUGAUCCUGAAAAGAUACAGGAUAUUUUUUGGAGCUAGGAUUUUUUUUUAACGUGCUCUAAAAAUUUGCCUGUAUCUUUCCGGGAUUAAUUCCUAGCGCUUUGUGAUGUUCUACAAAGUUGUUCCCCGGAUCGAAACCUAUAAGAAACCACUACUUUGAGAAAAAAUCAUAGGGCAUAGGAAAAUAUACUCGAAGAAGAGUUAAAAAGUUGAAAAUAAAUAAAUUAAAUUUAUUGAAAUUUCUUUAUAACUUCAGGUGGAAGUUCUAAACCUUAACCAAAUGCGCUCAAAAUUUCAGGCUAUGUUUUGGGGCCAUAUUGCUACAAAAUUCCGGUUGAGGCGUUCGAAAUUGAACACUUUUGUCUUUUUCAUAUAUCCGUGAGCCACGCUACUGUAUAACUAGUAGAGAGAAAACGGACUUCGACGCGCCGCUGGAGAAACAACAAAUUUGUAAAAUCUGCUGCUUGAGAACGAAUUUCUCGGCAUCUGUUGUGGUCUAGUGUCGUGGACUGCAUGGAAUCGGUUGAAUCGCGCGGAAAGUGAGUGAGUUGUUUUGUUCUAAGCGGAAAAUCGGCGGAAAUGGAGACUAAUUCGUGCAGAGUAAACAUUGGCCUUGACCCAGCAGUAACAACAACACCAGACCUUCCGGCUGGAAGUUGAUGUGCUGCUGCGAGAUCAAGUUUGCUGACGCUUCGAGAGCAAAUAUCAUCGGACAAGCAAAACAGGAACCAACUCCUUCGAAGGCCACUUUCCCCGAACUGACAACAGGGGGCCGAGCUGUUGAUGGGUUAGCAUUUCACCCUCGACUUGAUGGCGUACACUACGAACGUCGACUGAAAUCGGCGGUAAAGCUACGUCAACGGGUUUUCGAUAGAGUUUCAAAAACACUCGCUGGCGUGUUAAACGAAACUUCUUAUGCUCCAUAUUCACCUCGCCAAGAGCCUAAAGGUCUAGGACACGGUCCACCAACAUGACAAUCAUCUUCAAAAGAAAAAGCAGCAGUAAAAUUGGCAGAAAAGUCAUUGGAUCAUUGGACGGAUUAUGAACAUCACAGCCUGCAUGUUAUCCUAAAUUCUAUCUUUGGCGAUAAAUAUCACCAUCACGACCACCAUUAGAUAAGUGCUUUAAUAUUUUUUUCCUAAAAGAAUUAGACACUUUGUAAUAAUAUUCUAUUUUUUAGGUUGAAAUUCAUCCGCAACCACCAACAUUUGCAAAUUAAUAGUAAAAUGCACGACUUUCGAUGAAGUUCAGGUGAAUUAUAUGGAAAUUGCCGUAAGUCAGUACAGUUUUAAUUCUCUAGCUUUAACACAAAACUAACUAUUUUAAAACAAAUCAAUUAGAAUUACAGUUACUCAAUGGCUGUCUUCUAUGACUCUCUUCUUCUCGAUAGCAAUAUUGCUCUAGCUGUAAAUAUUUUUUCAGUCCCUUCAAAUAGAUUGCUUUGAUUUUUCAUUCUAUAAUUUGAUAACUCCCGCUCUCGAAGGUUCCCUCAAUAUCGACAACGAGAGAUUCCACUGUAUGAUAUUUUGAGUUUUAAUUUUCUAUUAUAAAUUUGUCAGAUACUGAUAUUUUUUUGUUACUUUUGGAGCAAUUUCUUAUACACAAUUCUGUUAUUAUGACUCUUAUAUGACUCAUAUUUGUGACAGCCUGAGUUACAAUGUUAUGCUUCAUAUAUUUUUUUUUCUGUAACGAAUUUCUGCUCGGAUAAGUGAUAAAAUAAUAACACUUUUUGUUAUGCAAUCAAUCCAUAUGAAUAACUGUUUUUGUUAUUUGGGUGCUCCCCAUCCAUUGCUCAGAAUAACUAACCUUGUUAUUCUAUUGUUCUGGAUUCUAUGUUAUUAGUAUGUUAUUGCAAUAACAGGGCAAUAACGAUUUGAGUUAUUUUUCGAACAAAUCUUUGUUAUUGAAAUUUGUUAUUUUAACAACUAAUCCGAUCAUCCCAAUAACGGAUUUUGAUCUUCUCACAAUAUCAAAAACUGACCUUCCCAAGUUAUUUCCGUCUGCUCGGGGCCUGCCCAACCUUUUCGGCUCAAUUUACACAUUUUUGAUCGUCAAAAUUACAAUUGUUAUUUUUUUCAUGGUUUCUUUGAUGGAAUCGGUUCUCAGAUGACCAGAGAACAUAACUUUGAUAAAAGUUUGAAAAAAUAUGUUUGCAGGUUGUUUUUAUGUAAGUUUUAAGUGAAAAAUUGGUCCGGCCCGCGGGCCGGAAUGAUUUUUGACGUAAAAUGUGGAUAAAAACGACUUGUAUAAAUAUUUUUUUCAAACUUAUGGAAAAGUUAUGUUCACUGGUCAUCUGAGAACCGAUUCCAUCAAAGAAACCAUGAAAAAAUGAACAAUUGUAAUUUUGACGAUCAAAUAUGUGAAAAUUGAGCCGAAAAGGUUGGGUUUUUUUUUACCAAUUUGGACAAGAUAAUAAAUUUUGCGCUAAAAUGACUUGAAAAAAAACAAAUACUUUGAAAAACGAGCCAAUCGAAAGAUUAUUGAAUUUUGGUUAAUUUCAAUCCAGUUUUAUUUUAAUAACACUUAUUUUUCAAUCUUGUUAUUUUUCAGAAUCUUCAAGAACUUCAUGCACAGGCCGUUCAUCAAUGACAAAUGCAUUCGGUGUGGUGAAGAAUAUCACUAAGAACAACAUGGAAUCAUCAGGUGAGUAGAUUUGGCUGUUGCAUAUGGAUCAUUUCCGUUUUUUCACUAACUGCAACUGCUGCACUAAAAAUUGUAUGAAAAUACCAAAUUUUGGUAUUACUUGUGCAAAUAUCAGCGACCAAAAUGUGAUCUUGGUUGCCCAGUAAUAGAUGGUAAAAUACCAUCAAAUCAUACCAAAAUCAUGUAUGUGGAAGACCACAGGAAUACCAAAAUAUGAUUUUCCAAGGGCGCGGGAAUACCUAAAAAUUAAACCAUGGCAAUACCAAGUUUUGGUAUUCAAGCAAUGUUCAAAAAUUCAGAAGACCUCAACUUGGUAUUGAAAUGGUUUUAUUUUGAGGUAUUAUUUUACCCUUGGAAUAACAUGGUUUGGUAUUGUUGUGCCCUUCCAUAUACUAGACUUUGGUAUGAUUUCAUGGUUUUUUACCAUCUAUUACUGGGCAACCAAGGGCACAUUUUGCUCGCUGUUAUUUGCUCAAGUAAUAUCAAAAUUUGGUAUUCCCGUGUUAUGCUCGGGAAAACAGAAAAAUAAACUGCGUUUACACUCGCGAAACGCAGCUAACGACGGCCGCGACGGAUCCCACAUUAACUCAGUGCGGACGUUACGCAUCGGCGGCCGUUACUGAUCGUGUGGUCCACCCUAGAACCGCCCUGGCGGACCGAGGGCGGGCCGCCUGGGCGGUUGAAAUUUUACAUUUGAAAUUUUUCAAUUUCGUCCGCCCUCCAUCCGCCUUGGCGUGCCAUGGGCGCAUCGCCUGGGCGGUUCAAACUGAUCGCUGAAAUGUUUCAAUAUCGUUCGCUCCUCAAUCUCCGCGGCGAGCCAAAGGCUGAUUGCCGUGGCGGUUUGCAUCUGAAGGAAUUUAUUUCGAAUUUGACAUUUCAGUCAGUUUUCAACGAGCUUCGGUGGAUGUUGUUAUUUAAUCGGCGGCUGCUGAUUUUCGUUGUUAAGUUUGUGUUGGGAGAAGUGUUGUGUUGUUUAGAUUGUUUACUUAUGUAAACAAACAGUUGAAAGUGUGUUUGAAAUAGUGAUUGAAGGUUGUUUUGCAAGAAUAAUCGUUAUUGUUGGUGUAAUUUCCCGAGCAUGGGUAAAUAACAAGGGAAAUGCGUAAUAAUACCUUCCUCUGGUAUCAAUACCAAAUUUUGGUAUUCCUGGACCCUUUAAAAUUUGUCUUAAGGAUUAUGCAAGAGCAAAAUGUGCUAUCAUACCAAUUAACCAAUAUUGCAAAAUUGCAGAAUUUGUCAAUGGUCGAACACCACAUAUUGGUAUUCUUUUGGUAUUACAGUGUUUUAUCAAAUUCCUCUGAAACUAUAGGAAAAUUUUGACCAAUUUUGACAAAAUAAUUAAUUUUGCGCUAAAAUAAUGUCUCAAAGCGAAUGCUUUAAUUGAAAACCGGAAAUUUCAAACUUGAUAUUAAACAUUUUUGAUAUACCCCCUAAAGAAAUGACUUGAA